UACGUAGGGUGCGAGCGUUAAUCGGAAUUACUGGGCGUAAAGUGUGCGCAGGCGGCCGAGCAAGUCGAGUGUGAAAUCCCCCGGCUCAACCGGGGAAUGGCUGGAUAUACUGGCGGUCUUGAGCAAUUCAGGGGCAGAUGGAACAGACGGUGGAGCGGUGAAAUGCGUAGAUAUCGUCUGGAACGCCAAAGGUGAAGACAGUCUGCUGGGAAUUUGCUGACGCUGAGACACGAAAGCCAGGGGAGCGAACGGG
rnacentral:rRNA from 1 species